rnacentral:rRNA from 1 species
UACAGAGGGUGCGAGCGUUAAUCGGAAUUACUGGGCGUAAAGGGUGCGUAGGCGGGUCUUUAAGUCAGGGGUGAAAUCCUGGAGCUCAACUCCAGAACUGCCUUUGAUACUGAAGAUCUUGAGUUCGGGAGAGGUGAGUGGAACUGCGAGUGUAGAGGUGAAAUUCGUAGAUAUUCGCAAGAACACCAGUGGCGAAGGCGGCCAUCUGGACGGUAACUGACGCUGAGACGCGAAAGCGUGGGGAGCAAACAGG